CGGAGAGGGCGCAUGAGAAAUGGCGCUUACAGCUAAGGUUGGCAGCAGGAGCGAAAACUUUUCGAAUAAGCAUUGCUUGAAAAGGUGACGAACUGUAUCAACAUCGGCAAUAUGCUGGUGAUUGAAAUGAGCGGCGCACAACUGACGCUGCGAGUAGCAAGUUCAGGGAAAGUCUGGUGCCAGCAGCCGCGGUAAUACCAGCUGAGCGAAGGAUGGAUAAUGUUGUUGCAGUAAAAACAUUCGUAGUCAUCUACUCCCUUGUGAAUUACGCUGAGCGUUAUAAACGAGAGAUUUGUAAACAAUCCGCGAUUAAAUUGGAACGAUUUAUUCAAAUGUUGAACACGAAAGCGUGGUAAAUCUGAUGAUGCCUUUCCCAGAAUGCUUCUUUGGGUGAAGGAAUAAAUAGUAAAAAUAUGUGAGGAUAGUGGUACCUACAAGCUAGAGGUGAAAUUCAUAGAUUUUGUAGAGACAUGCUGCUGCGAAGGCUUCUGUCUAACAUAUGUUUGGUGAUCAAGAAUUAAAGUGUGGGGAUCGAAGAGGAUUAGAUACCCUCGUAGUCCACACCCUAAACGAUGUCGACUAGUGGUCGGUCUUAGCUAUGAAGCUUUAGCGGAACCUUGGCGGAUAUGAAAGUCUUCGGACUCUGGGGGAAGUAUGGUCGCAAGGGCGAAACUUAAAGGAAUUGACGGAACGGCACCACCAGGGGUGGAGCGUGCGGCUUAAUUUGACUCAACGCGGGAAACCUUACUAGGGUAAGACAUUGUUAUGAUUGACAGAUUGCAUGGUCUUUCUUGAUUCAGUGGGUGGUGGUGCAUGGCCGAUCUUAGUUGGUGGGUUGACUUGUCUGGUUAAUUUCGAUAACGAACGAGAUCCGAGCUGUUUAUUUGCAUUUGCUAUUACAGUAAUAUGUUCUUAAAUGGACCAUCAGCUUAAGUUGAGGGAAGUGUCGGGCUAAAUCAGGUCUGUGAUGCCCUUUGAUACUCUGGGCGGCACGCGCGCUACAUUGGACGUUUUGAUGUGUCACGUGGCUGUUAGGUUAUGUGAAUCACCAAACAUGGGUCUUAAAUGGGAUAGUGCGUUGCAAUUUUCGGACUUGAACUAGGAAUCCCUUGUAGGUACAGUACAGAAUACUGUCCCGAAUACGUCCCUGCCGUUUGUACACACCGCCCGUCGUUUCUUCCGACUGGUACUCAUUGUGAAUUGCGAGGAUGUUUCGACAAAAUCGUUGUAAAUGCUGGGUAUUGGAGGAAGAAAAAGUCGUAACAAGGUAACC
rnacentral:rRNA from 1 species